rnacentral:rRNA from 1 species
GACGAACGCUGGCGGCGUGCUUAACACAUGCAAGUCGAACGAUGAAGCCUAGCUUGCUAGGUGGAUUAGUGGCGAACGGGUGAGUAAUACGUGAGUAACCUACCUUUAACUCUGGGAUAAGCCCGGGAAACUGGGUCUAAUACCGGAUACGACCAAUCUCCGCAUGGGGUGUUGGUGGAAAGCGUUAUGUAGUGGUUAUAGAUGGGCUCACGGCCUAUCAGCUUGUUGGUGAGGUAACGGCUCACCAAGGCGACGACGGGUAGCUGGCCUGAGAGGGUGACCGGCCACACUGGGACUGAGACACGGCCCAGACUCCUACGGGAGGCAGCAGUGGGGAAUAUUGCACAAUGGGCGCAAGCCUGAUGCAGCGACGCCGCGUGAGGGAUGACGGCCUUCGGGUUGUAAACCUCUGUUAGCAGGGAAGAAGAGAGAUUGACGGUACCUGCAGAGAAAGCGCCGGCUAACUACGUG